CAAGUUCCCGAGGGCUGUGCGGGCGAACUGGCCUGGGAGCCCCAAAAGUGGGAGGGGCAAGGCCGUCCCCCGCCUUCCCUGCUCCGUGGGUGCCCCCUGGGCCGGCCGUUUCCACAUCUCCCGGGCUGCCACGGCCUGGGACCGAGCCGGGCGCGCACCGGCGCCCGCGCCGCCCCGAAGCCCGACUGCCACAGCCCGGCCCGCCGGCCCAGAGCCGCGCGGCCGCUCCGACCCGCCGGCCAGGCCGGUCCUCGCCCCCAGGCCCCGGCCCCGCCCGCUCGGGCCUCCGCGCGCCGCCCCCCGGCUCGCCACCACCCUCGGGCAGGGGGCAGGGGGCAGGGGGCCGGGGGCACCGGGGCUCCGGGCCGCGCGGCGGCGUCCCCGCGCCUACCUCAGCGACCGCGGCUCCUCCUCCCGGGGCUGCCUCAGCUGGCGGACGGCGCUCGCCUACCGGACUCGCAGCGGCGCGGGAUCUGGGCUGCGGGCGCGGCGUGUGAGGAGCCGAGGCCCGAGCGCGCCCCGUCCAGCCGCCCGCCCGACCGCCCGUCAGUCACCUCCUCCCCCUGGCGCCCGCCCGCCAGGCCCCGCCCCGCCCCGCCCGCCCGUCAGGCCCCGCCCCGCCCCGCCCGCCCGCCAGGCCCCGCCCACCCCGCCCGCCAGGCCCCGCCCACCCCGCCGGCCCGAGCCGGGAAGGGGGCCGCCGAGGGGCGCCGCGAGAGCCGCAGGGUCUGCCUCCCGUGGGGGCCUUCGAUACCCGGCGGGGCCCCCACUAGGGACGUGAUUCGUGGUGCUUGCUGCGAAGUCUCUUCGCUCGGGUUUGUCGUUACUGCGAUUUUCCUGCCGUUAUCAUUUUGUGAUCGUUGUUAUUGGCCCCGUCAUUGGUUCUUUCACCCUCCCGGAGCCCGCAGCAGCAUUCGGUGGAGGCGGGAGAUGGCGGACACGCAGCCCCUUCCUGCAGACCCGACUCUCCUGGUCGCCCGGGACUCCCAGGGGCCCGCACCUGUGCCACUGCCUUGUGAAGUCGACCAGUUGGGAGUGAAAAAGAAGAUACGUCCUGCCCAGGGAGCUCUCAGUCAAAAGAAAAAGGAAGCCCUCAGCCCAAGUGGGCUGCAGCCUGAUACUCCGGAUCUACCUUCCUCCUCUCCUUCACUCCUCAGCAAAACUCCUGAAGGAAUUAAUUGCACCUGCCGUCCAAACCUCUCUCAGCUCCCUCCCACUUCCUGUCAGGGCUUUUCUGCCUCCCUUGUAGCUGCUUGGUGA
rnacentral:lncRNA from 12 species